rnacentral:rRNA from 1 species
CAGCAGCCGCCGCGGUAAUACAGAGGGUGCGAGCGUUAAUCGGAUUUACUGGGCGUAAAGCGUGCGUAGGCGGCUUCUUAAGUCGGAUGUGAAAUCCCUGAGCUUAACUUAGGAAUUGCAUUCGAUACUGGGAAGCUAGAGUAUGGGAGAGGAUGGUAGAAUUCCAGGUGUAGCGGUGAAAUGCGUAGAGAUCUGGAGGAAUACCGAUGGCGAAGGCAGCCAUCUGGCCUAAUACUGACGCUGAGGUACGAAAGCAUGGGGAGCAAACAGGAUUAGAGACCCGUGUAGUCCCUGUCUCUUAUAC